CGGUUAAGUCCUGAAGAAGAAAAAUGGACGGUGCACCAGAAAGUCAGGAAAUGUCGUACUUUGAUCAUGUUCAGAGACGCCAGGAAGAGAAAGGAUCUCUCUAUGCUUGUUUGUUUGCACUUUGCUGCUGCUGCUGCUGCUAUGAAACUUGCGAGUGCUGCUUGGAAACCAUCUGUUGUUGCUGCCUUGGUGAUUGAUAUAUAUGUGUGUGUGUGUGUGUGUGGAUGUUGAUCGUCUGGUGAAUAAUGUAAGGGAUUUAUAUAUGCUUCAUCGUGUAAUCAUUAAUUCAAGGAAUUUUAAAUUUAUAGCAGGAGAAUGAUCUCUUGUUCUUGUUGUCAUUAUAUUAUGUCAUGUAUGUACUUAAUUAAUUUCCUAUUUGUGUGUGUUUUUGUGGGUUUCUGGCCAUUGGCCAACAUGCACGUGUCCUUUUGUAUUUGUGUUAUACUUGUCAUAGAAGAGUAGUAAAUCCAGUGGUUCAUGGCGAAACAAUUAACAUA